UGGGGAAUUUUGGACAAUGGGGGAAACCCUGAUCCAGCCAUCCCGCGCGUCCGAUGAAGGCCUUCGGGUUGUAAAGCACUUUUGGCAGGAAAGAAACGUCAUGGGUUAAUACCCCGUGAAACUGACGGUACCUGCAGAAUAAGCACCGGCUAACUAUGUGCCAGCAGCCGCGGUAAUACGUAGGGUGCAAGCGUUAAUCGGAAUUACUGGGCGUAAAGCGUGCGCAGGCGGUUCGGAAAGGAAGAUGUGAAAUCCCAGAGCUCAACUUUGGAACGGCAUUUGUAACUACCGGGCUAGAGUGUGUCAGAGGGAGGUGGAAUUCCGCGUGUAGCAGUGAAAUGCGUAGAUAUGCGGAGGAACACCGAUGGCGAAGGCAGCCUCCUGGGAUAACACUGACGCUCAUGCACGAAAGCGUGGGGAGCAAACAGG
rnacentral:rRNA from 1 species